CUCCAGAUGUUGCUGAACUACAACUCCCAUGAUUCUUUGAAUUACAUAGAGCCAGAGAAUCAUGGGAGUUGUAGUUCAGCAACAUCUGGGG